CUUAUUGAUGAAAUGGCUGAAACGCAGGCCUUAAAAUACGGAAUAACAAGAAGUUUGAGACAAUGUGAUCCGUAUUCAGGACUGCAUCAACCUGGUGGAGAAUCACUUUAUGUCCGUUGCCAAACAGUCAUUAUGUUACACUCAGAAGACCCCAAGGUACUAACCAGUAAUGCACCAUCGGUCAAACUACCCGGCAAGAUGAAUCCAAGCCACCGCGAAGAACCACUGGCGGCGGAGCACUCACGCGCCACCAAGCGGAAGCAUUCUCCAAAAUCUGAAGAAUUCCACAGCGGAAAUAUACACGCUAAAUGUCAAAGAUUAACUGUCUCGCAAACCUUAACGAUCUCAGAAACCAAAAUCCAAAGCCAAACUUUUUUUGCCCGUAAACCCGAAUUUUCUCGAAACCCGCCCACUUCUAAUCGGUUUGAACGUUUUCGUUCUUCUCGAAAGCGAAAUAAAACAUGGAAGAGAAGGAAGUCGAGCGCUACGGACGAGUGCCACCGCCAGUGGACCUUCUCCUCCCGCGAUUUUUCUAAUUUUAAAGAUAAAUUUGUGAUAGUUUCAUAUAAUAUACUUGGAGUCGAAAAUGCAUUGAAGCAUCCAGACUUGUACAUGGAUGUGCUGCCUGAGUUCUUGGAGUGGCAGAGGCGGAAAAAGAUGAUAUGUGAAGAGAUUAAACGUUACAAUGCAAGCAUAUUGUGUUUUCAGGAGGUUGACCGUUUUGAUGAUCUAGAUUAUCUUCUUCAGAAAGAUGGCUUCAGGGGCGUUUAUAUGGCUCGUACAGGUGAUUCUUGCGAUGGGUGUGCUAUAUUCUGGAAAGACAAACAAUUUACCCUUUUACAUCAAGAAAAUAUUGAGUUCCAGAAGUUUGGCCUCCGUGACAAUGUUGCUCAAUUUUGUGUUUUAAAGAUGAAACCAAAUUUACCAGAGCCUGAAAUAUGUGAGAAAACAUCAGUGACAACACUCUCUCGAAGUCAAAGCUUAGUGGUUGGAAAUACACAUGUACUCUAUAAUCCAAAGCGUGGAGACAUCAAACUAGGCCAGGUUCGGCUGUUUCUUGAGAAGGCUUACAAGCUUUCACAAGAGUGGGGUAAGAUUCCAGUUGUACUUGCUGGAGACUUAAACAGUAGUCCACAGAGUGCAAUUUAUCAGUUUCUGGCUUCCUCUAAGUUGGAUGUUCAGCAACAUGAUCGCAGAUAUAUGUCCAGGCAGGUUGAGGUUUCUUCAAAUUGCAGAAACUCAAAAUUUCACAAGGGGAAAAGAAACUGUGCUUGGAGGUCUAUCUCAAGACCAUUGAUAUAUGGAUGGAGUGAUGAAGAACUAAGACUUGCAACUGGCAGUAAGCAAGUGGCACAACUUCAGCACCAAUUGAAGCUCUACAGUGCAUAUUUUGGGGUUCCCGGAAGCCGUAAGACAAGAGACAAUAUUGGAGAACCAUUGGCUACAUCAUACCACAGCCAAUUUAUGGGAACUGUUGACUAUAUAUGGCAUACAGGGGAACUUCUUCCUGUGAGAGUUCUUGAAACCUUACCCAUUGACAUUUUGAAAAGAAGUGCAGGACUCCCAUGUGAGAGUUGGGGGAGCGAUCACCUUGCACUUGCUUGUGAACUAGCUUUUGUAAACAAUGGUGAUCAGACCUGAUUACUGAUCCUGUAAUAGAGCCUUGACUGGCUAGCAUAGAUUUUGAAAAGCUUAGGCUUCCUAAGAGUUCCAAUCUUUUGGAGAAGCCGCUUCUUCGGCAAAAUUACUUGCACAGAAGGAAAUAUUUUUAUUGCUUGGGAGCUUUUGGAAUAAAAAUGAAAUGCAGCAUCCAGUGUAAUUUGUUGUACCAGUAGAUAUUGUUACCAAAAGGUAGUCAAACAUUUCUUUUUGACAAACAGAAAGAAAAAUUAAGCACGUGAUUUGACUCACCCCAUGGUACGAAAGAAACACCUAAAUCACUGUAUGAAAAUUUGAAGUGAAGAAUAGUCGUCAAAGUAUGGAAUCUCAAAUCUGAAGGCAGAAGAUUUAGGUUUGAUUUCACUUUCCUAAAUAAACUUGAGUUUACAUAACAGUAGAUUAUUAUGCUAGUCUCGUUGCCUCAAAGGAAUAAUUGGACUCUUAGAAAAAGUUUCAGAAGCUACAAUGGCAUCUCUUUGUGCUUA